CCUACGGGUGGCAGCAGUGAGGAAUAUUGGACAAUGGGCGAAAGCCUGAAGCAGCAACGCCGCGUGAGCGAUGAAGGCCUUCGGGUCGUAAAGCUCUGUCCUCAAGGAAGCUAAUGACGGUAAUUGUGGAGGAAGCCCCGGCGAACUACGUGCCAGCAGCCGCGGUAAUACGUAGGGGGCUAGCGUUAUCCGGAAUUACUGGGCGUAAAGGGUGCGUAGGUGGUUUCUUAAGUCAGAGGUGAAAGGCUACGGCUCAACCGUAGUAAGCCGUUGAAACUGGGGAACUUGAGUGCGGGAGAGGAUAGUGGAAUGCCUGGUGUAGCGGUGAAAUGCGUAGAUAUUAGGAGGAACACCAGUUGCGAAGGCAGCUCUCUGGCCUGUAACUGACGCUGAGGCACGAAAGCGUGGGGAGCAAACAGGAUUAGAUACCCCAGUAGUC
rnacentral:rRNA from 1 species